rnacentral:lncRNA from 1 species
AUGCUUCUAGAAGAUUCCUGGCGAAGCCUCAGGAUCCCUGGAGGCUGUGGACGGGUGUCCGUGAGGCUGGCCUGCAGCUGUGAAAUCCUCUGCACCCAGACUUCCGCCUGCUCGCCCAGCCCUGGGCCUGCCCGCAUGGGGAGGAGAGAAGCCCCAGGCUGCCUGGGAUGGGCUCCCAGCCGUCCCUGCCCCUCGCUUCUGGCCACGUUCUGCCCGUCAUGGCCCAGGACCUCUGGCUCUGUGCCUGGGGAGCAGCUGCACCCCUCACUCUCAGGGGGCUUGGCCUACGCCCACUUUAAGCUGCUGCCCAGGCCCAUGGAGCGAGCAGCUCCGUCUGAAGAAGGGGAGAUGAGAGAGCAGCUGGAGAACAGGAGGCCUAGGAGGCUGACCAGGCCUAGGACACCAGGAGAACGUGGCAGCUGCGUCCUGGGUGCAGGACCCUCCCUGCCUUACCAGGCCCCCACCCAGCUGCCAGGAGGCAGGGUCCAGGCGGCCCUGGUAAGGCAGACUCGGCACCAGCCAAGAUCAGCGAAGCACAGCCAGUCGAGGGCUGUGGGGCGAUCGUGGCCAGGGCCUCCUGGGUGGCCCGGAGCCUGCAGGCAGGGGUCCCAGGCUUUGCAGGGGUGGGCACGAGAGGCCGAGGAGCCGUCGGGCCCCAGGCCAGUCCAGGUUGGGUGAGCCAAGCUUGCCCUGAGCAGAGCCAGGAACGUCAGAGUCUCACUUGGAGGAUGCAGGUGAUGCUUUCCUUUUAUCUUCUAUUGGGUGCUUUAUACUUGGAAUCAGGUGUGAGGUCCACCAAAAUCCAGCGCUGUGUUAUGGGGAAGGCUCUCGAAGUUGCCCAGUGCUGUGUCUGCACGGGGAGGCUCCUACAGGAAGUGCGUGUGAAGGAGGAAAAUGCAUGCAGGGGAAGGAGUAGGGUGCCAUGGUGAGUCAAACCGCGUUCCUGGAAAAGAUCCGUUCAAGCGUGAGCCCCAGGACCUAGGAAUGUGAAAUUUAUUGGAAAACAGGGCUUUGGCAGAUGUGAUUAAGGAUGCCAAAAUGAGAGCAUCCUGGGAUUAGGGUGGGCCUAAAUCCAAGGACAGGCGUCCUUAUAGGAGAAAGGGGGAGGAGGGGUUGAGACCUAGAGGGGCAGGGAAGACAGGCAGGAAUGGGAGUGAUGUGGCUGCAAGCCAAGGACUGCAGGCAACGCUGGGUGAGCGAGCGUGAGCAUGUGUGCAUGUGUGAGCGUGCGUGUGUGUGCAUGUGUGUGUGCGUGUGUCUGAGUGUGCGUGUGUGUGAAUGUGUGCAUGCAUGUGUGUGCAGGUGUGCGUGCAUGUGUGAGUAUGCAUGCGUGUGUGAAUAUGAGCCUCUGGGGAUCAGGAAGCAGGCACAGAGCAGCCCCUCCCUCCAAGCCUGCAAAGCAAGCAGCCCUGCUGACCCCUCUGGGACCAAAGGAGAAUAAAAUUCUCCCCUCAGUUUGCGGCACUUUAUGUGGCAGUCCCAGGACACUGAUACAGGUGUCAAGAGACGGGCACGGGCCGGGCACCAUGGCUCACGUCUGUCAUCCCAGCACUGUAGGAGGCUGAGGUGGGUGGAUCACUUGAAGUCAGGAGUUCAAGACCAGCCUGGCCAACAUGGUGAAACCCCGUCUCUACUAAAAAUGCAAAGAUUAACUGAGUGUGGUGGUGCACGCCUGUAAUCCCAG